CGGGACGGUGUCGCGGUAACACCGGUCCACUUCCGGGUUGCGCCCGAUGUCGCAAUAACAACGCUAAUGGCAGAUUGACAUCUGGUGUGGGGAGUUUGAUGUGGCGAUCUGUGAGAGGAUUAUGGAGGCGGAGUAACCACAUAAAAAGAGAAGUGCAGAGACCAUGAGGAGGGUUGUGGAUUCUUUUUUGGUCGUUCGUUCUCCCGGCUAUUCUUCCUGGUUGGCUUGCCCCCGUGUGUGGUUCUUCUCUUUGGAUAUGUUCCCCUAGGAGAGGUGAAUUCCUGGGACGUUUGGGCUGGCGUGUGGAGGUGUUUGAGGACUAUUGUGGGGUUUCGGCUAUCUGGCUGUGCAACAGAUAUAUCCGCGAUCGAGUGGAGAUAUUCAGGACAGAAAGAGUGUGAGUUCUGGAAAGCAAGUGAAGACCAGACCGCGCCAUCGCUAUCGGAGGGAAGUUAAGAGACCUGAUCUGGGAUUUCGAUCAAUUGUAUACAUCUGGACUGGGACUGAUAACGUUGUGAAGUGGACGGAGUCAUCGUUGGGUGAGUGCUGGCUCUAUUUGCACUAAGAGUGGGUGUGCCGUGUCUGAAGUGGUGUGUUUGCACAAUAAAUCGUUUGAAGUGAAGUUACAGAGUGUGGGGAAGAUAUAUAGAGUUAAUGCCGGACGCUCACCACCCCGAGAGCCCACCACCGUCACCGUAAUCCACACCCAGGCACUCAACUGAAGCAUCUCCCAGCCGUAAGCCCCAUUGCUUAUUCAAGAACACAUACAUGCUGUUGAUUACUUACCCCGCUGUGUAGAUCGCAGGAUCCUCUGGGCCGAACGCCGCAUGUGAUGUCCCUAUGAAAGGAGAUCGCAGGAUCCUCUGGGCCGAAUGCCGCAUGUGAUGUCCCUAUGAAAAGAGGUGGACACAAGAAUUAUUCCUUUCCCGGUCACAACCGAAGCCUCUCCCAGCCGUAAGCCCCACUACUUAUUCAAGAACGCAUACUUGCUGUUGAUUACCUACUCUGCUGUGCAGAUCGCAGGAUCCUCUGGGCCGAAUGCUGCAUGUGAUGUCCCUGUAGAAAGAGGUGGACACAAGAAUUAUUCCUUUCCCGGUCACAACCGAAGCCUCUCCCAGCCGUAAGCCCCACUACUUAUUCAAGAACGCAUACUUGCUGUUGAUUACCUACUCUGCUGUGCAGAUCGCAGGAUCCUCUGGGCCGAAUGCUGCAUGUGAUGUCCCUGUAGAAAGAGGUGGACACACGAAUUAUUCCUUUCCCGGUCUUAACCGAAGCCUCUCCCAGCCGUAAGCCCCACUACUUAUUCAAGAACGCAUACUUGCUGUUGAUUACCUACUCUGCUGUGCAGAUCGCAAGAUCCUCUGGGCCGAAUGCUGUAUGUGAUGCCCCUGUAGAAAGAGACCACAGGAUUCUCUGGGCCGAAUGCUGCAUGUGAUGUCCCUGUAGAAGGAGGUGGACACGAGAAUUAUUCCUUUUCCCGGUCUCGACCGAAACAUCCACGAGCUCUACUUACCCGGAUACCCCCCCUCACUCCGGGACGGGUGACAGACUACCCUGGCUCUUGCUGGCCCCGUACAGGCACAAACUGCCGACGACUCCACGCCUUCCCGGCGUCCGAGGUCUGGCUCCCUUCUGGUCGGGAGACACGGAAGGAACACUGAACUUUUAAAUUGCUUUUAAUCAAAUAAAACCUUGUUCAUUUUU